GUGAUGUACUCCUCUGUGGUCGCUGUAGAACGUCAAACUAAACAAAGGCUUGGUCUCGCUGAAGAGGAAGUAACAUACAGCGAUGUUAAACACAUGAGAAGAGCUUCAGAAAAGUGGUCAGAAGCUAAUAGAGAUGUGGACGUGAUGUACUCCUCUGUGGUUGCUGAACGUCAAACUAAACAAAGGAUUCAAGCGGAAGAAGAUGAUGUAACAUAAAGCAGGUUGGCUUAGCACCAGAGAAACCUGUGAAUGUUAUCCCUACCCUACAUCUGUACCCAACGCUGGAGGCGUAGCCCAAUAUCACAAACUUCACAGUUUGUACAGAAUAUCAGUAUGACAA